GCCUGACUGGUUCCCUAUAAGAGGAGGGAAAUGCAGACCCAGCCACACACAGAGGGAAGAUGGCCCUGUGAAGAGGAGACAGAGAUCAGAGUUCUCAAGAGAUGGAGAUUAUGAGCUGACAAUUUCCUGAGAAUCCACAGGCCAGCUCCUUGAGUCUCUGAUGAUAACUGCUCACAAGGCAUCAGCUGGAGGUUUGCAUCCAAGGAUGGCUGUCUUCAUGCCCUAAAACCCAACAAAACUGAUUCAAGAGAACCCUUCAGCCUGCUGCCUUCCACUAACCUCAGAUAUUGGCUGAGGUUGGUUACUCAAACCCCAGUCUCCUGGUUGCAUAACUUUGGGAGUGACUGUCCCAAUAAACAUGUCCCAUUGAAUUGCCUCGCUGCUCUCCACUGAAGCUUCUUGUUUACUAUGGAAUUCCUAGGAAUCUAAACAUGUCAAGGGACCGUUCUCCCUGCCCCUCAAGGCACGCGUUGAACUAAGUGGAACCAUACCUUUGCUUUCGUCCCAAACCAACAGGUGGAACCAAUUUAAAACCACACGAUCAUGCAAUGCGUGAUCCCCCUGUGUGUUUCAGUGUUUCUCCCAAGAAGGACAUAAUGUUCUUGCCUGAGUUUUUUUUUAUCUACGAAAGACAAGCACCACACUCUAAGGGCAAUUGGCCUAAACAAUUGGCCACUGCUUAAAUCAAUUAUGGUACCCCUGGGCAACCACGGAAAGUCAUGGUUUGGAAGAAAAUUUAAUGACAUGGGAAAAUGUUUAUGGUCUUCUAUUAAAGUGAAAAAAGCUGCAUACAGAACAGAAUGCACGGUAUGAAAACAAUUAUGUAAAAAUUACGUAUAUAUUCAUAGAAAAUCUGAAAGGCUGUGCUCCAAAAUGUAGACGUUGAUGAUCUACUCAGGGCUGUGAAAGGGAAAUGGCCUGGUUCUGCCAGGCACAAGUGCAGCCUCUGGAGAGAACACGCCAUGGCUGACAUCUUGGCACAGCGCUGUGCCUCCUGGGAAGGUCCAUCUUUUUCUAAUCCUGCAUGGCACCAAACUUACUGGCAUGAGCUCCAGGGAUUAUAGAAUUGUGCAGACCUGCAGACUUCCAGCGUGUGUCUUCCCACAUGGGGGCGGGGGUAUGGUGGCUUGUGAGGGUAUGAUGCCAUGAGACCAAGAAGGAAAGCAACAGGAUGCCUGCCACCCACCCACUUCUGCCAAAACCGCCAGGAUUUGGCAGAGUGGUGACAUUUUCACCAUCACAGCUGAAGAUAAGCAAGUAGAUUCCAUUAACUGGAUUGUGAGCGACUUCACAAUAGCCAUCCCAUGUCUAACAGGCUUAAUUACACAAAGAUGGGUAACCAACAAGACUUCGUCUCCACUGAGAUAAAAUAAAAAGGGAAAGGAUUCAUUUACAGCGGAAGAAACUGGACUUAGCUGCAUGGAAAAACCAAGUACAAGGUAAGAAAAGUGAAAAGCCCGGGAUUCCAGCCCAUUACAAGAGAGUGAGAUCCAGAAAGGGUGACGCAGGAACAGUGGAGACAGCCUGGGUUCCUGGCCUUGCCCCCUGAGAGGGUUCUUGAAACAACUUAGCAAGGUACUUUGUGCUGUGGAAUGAGAUACUUCUCACCAAGUCAAGAGAUCCAAGCCCUCCAAAGAGAAAUAGAACAUAAAGCCUAUUUGGGGGGAUAGCUCCAAAUGAGAAGAAAAGCUAACCCUUACUAAAACCAGGAAAAUCCAGUGUCCUUAAAUGAAGUGGUACACCUCUUACACUGUUGGUGGGAAUGCAAGUUGGUGCAGCCACUUUGGAAAGCAGUGUGGAGAUUCCUCAAGAAAUUAAAAAUAGAACUUCCCUAUGACCCUGCAAUUGCACUACUGGGUAUUUGCCCCAAAGAUACAGAUGUAGUGAAAAGAAGGGCCAUCUGUAUCCCAAUGUUCGUAGCAGCAAUGGCUACAGUCACCAAACUGUGGAAAGAAUCAAGAUGCCCUUCAAUGGACUAAUGGAUAAGGAAGAUGUGGUCCGUAUAUACUAUGGAGUAUUAUGCCUCCAUCAGAAAGGAUGAAUACCUCACUUUUGUAUCAACAUGGAUGGGACUGGAAGAGAUUAUGUUGAGUGAAAUAAGUCAAGCAGAGAGAGUCAAUUAUCAUGUGGUUUCACUUACUUGUGGAGCAUAAGGAAUAACACAGAGGACAUGGGGAGAUGGAGAGAAGUGAGUCGGGGGAAACUGGGGGGGAGACAAACCAUGAGAGACUAUGGACUCUAAGAAACAAACUGAGGGUUUUGGAGGGGAGAGGAGUGUGGGAUGGGUGAGCCUGUUGGUGGGUAUUGUGGGGGGCACAUAUUGCAUAGAGCACUGGGUAUGGUGCAUAAACAAUGAAUGUUGGAACACUGGAAAAGUUAAAUUUAAAAAAAUAAAUGAAGCGGUUCCAUACAGUCUAGAUGAAGAUAUUAAAAUGCAGUGAAAACACUUUACUCUUGGAUAUAUGAAAUACAAUUGUUGACUUAGAACCCACUCAGUGUUUCACGGAGACCUCAUCUGCAUUUCAGCUAUUCAGGUAUGUUUCAUUUUGUCAUAAAAUUUACUAAUGUAUCAUAAAAAUUGAAAGGCACAUUUUAAUAUUGAGGGAGAGUUUCCUUUUAUAUAAAAAAUAACUGUUUUCCUAUUUUAAAAAGUUACACACACAGACAUACAAAGUUACACAGAGGGGUGCCUCGGUGGCUCAGUGGGUUAAGCCUCUACCUUUGGUUCAGACCCUGAUCUCAGGGUCCUGGGAUUGAGCCCCACAUGGGGCUCUUUGCUCAGCAGAAAGCCUGCUGCCCCUUCUCUCUCUGCCUCUCUCCCUACUUGUGAUUUCUGUCUGUGAAAUAAAUAAAUAAAUAAUCGUUAAAAAUUAAAAGAAAAGAAAAGAAAAAGAAGUUACACAGAAAAGCCCAGAGAAGAUAAAAAUCACCAUAGUCACACCUUUAGGGAGAAUCACUAUUAACUUUCUGGUCAA